rnacentral:rRNA from 2 species
UGCAGUCGAACGGUGAAGCAGAGCUUGCUCUGUGGAUCAGUGGCGAACGGGUGAGUAACACGUGAGCAAUCUGCCCCUGACUCUGGGAUAAGCGCUGGAAACGGCGUCUAAUACCGGAUACGAGCUGCGACCGCAUGGUCAGUAGCUGGAAAGAAUUUCGGUCAGGGAUGAGCUCGCGGCCUAUCAGCUUGUUGGUGAGGUAAUGGCUCACCAAGGCGUCGACGGGUAGCCGGCCUGAGAGGGUGACCGGCCACACUGGGACUGAGACACGGCCCAGACUCCUACGGGAGGCAGCAGUGGGGAAUAUUGCACAAUGGGCGAAAGCCUGAUGCAGCAACGCCGCGUGAGGGAUGACGGCCUUCGGGUUGUAAACCUCUUUUAGCAGGGAAGAAGCGAAAGUGACGGUACCUGCAGAAAAAGCGCCGGCUAACUACGUGCCAGCAGCCGCGGUAAUACGUAGGGCGCAAGCGUUAUCCGGAAUUAUUGGGCGUAAAGAGCUCGUAGGCGGUCUGUCGCGUCUGCUGUGAAAACCCGAGGCUCAACCUCGGGCCUGCAGUGGGUACGGGCAGACUAGAGUGCGGUAGGGGAGAUUGGAAUUCCUGGUGUAGCGGUGGAAUGCGCAGAUAUCAGGAGGAACACCGAUGGCGAAGGCAGAUCUCUGGGCCGUAACUGACGCUGAGGAGCGAAAGGGUGGGGAGCAAACAGGCUUAGAUACCCUGGUAGUCCACCCCGUAAACGUUGGGAACUAGUUGUGGGGUCCAUUCCACGGAUUCCGUGACGCAGCUAACGCAUUAAGUUCCCCGCCUGGGGAGUACGGCCGCAAGGCUAAAACUCAAAGGAAUUGACGGGGACCCGCACAAGCGGCGGAGCAUGCGGAUUAAUUCGAUGCAACGCGAAGAACCUUACCAAGGCUUGACAUAUAGAGGAAACGUCUGGAAACAGUCGCCCCGCAAGGUCUCUAUACAGGUGGUGCAUGGUUGUCGUCAGCUCGUGUCGUGAGAUGUUGGGUUAAGUCCCGCAACGAGCGCAACCCUCGUUCUAUGUUGCCAGCACGUAAUGGUGGGAACUCAUGGGAUACUGCCGGGGUCAACUCGGAGGAAGGUGGGGAUGACGUCAAAUCAUCAUGCCCCUUAUGUCUUGGGCUUCACGCAUGCUACAAUGGCCGGUACAAAGGGCUGCAAUACCGUGAGGUGGAGCGAAUCCCAAAAAGCCGGUCCCAGUUCGGAUUGAGGUCUGCAACUCGACCUCAUGAAGUCGGAGUCGCUAGUAAUCGCAGAUCAGC